GAUGAACGCUAGCGGGAGGCCUAACACAUGCAAGCCGAGCGGGAUUUGUUGGUUAGCUUGCUAACUAACAAUGAGAGCGGCGUACGGGUGCGUAGCACGUGUGCAACCUGCCUUUAUCUGGGGGAUAGCCUUUCGAAAGGAAGAUUAAUACCCCAUAACAUAUUGAUUGGCAUCAGUUAAUAUUGAAAGCUCCGGCGGAUAGAGAUGGGCACGCGUAAGAUUAGCUAGUUGGUGAGGUAACGGCUCACCAAGGCUGCGAUCUUUAGGGGGCCUGAGAGGGUGAUCCCCCACACUGGUACUGAGACACGGACCAGACUCCUACGGGAGGCAGCAGUGAGGAAUAGUGGACAAUGGGUGAGAGCCUGAUCCAGCCAUCCCGCGUGAAGGACUAAGGACCUAUGGUUUGUAAACUUCUUUUAUACAGGGAUAAACCUACUCUCGUGAGGGUAGCUGAAGGUACUGUAUGAAUAAGCACCGGCUAACUCCGUG
rnacentral:rRNA from 1 species